ensembl:lncRNA
CCUGUUUUUUUCCCAGGGUGAUCUCAUUAUGAUGGACAGUAUCAUAUCAAUCAUAUGGGACACGAUGUCCGUACUCACAGAAGCCUAAUCGAAAUUGACCACAGCUUCAAAACACGAUAAGAUGCACGGGGUUAUCUUCAAGAGCGCGCUCCCUUCAGGGAAGUGACCUAUAAUGCACUCAGCAGCCCUCAGGCUUCAUCAAGCAUGCUGACAGUUGUAAAUGGUUUUGAUAAGGCCCGUGUUUAUAGAGGUUUGGAGCAGGCACAGACGGGCACGGAGAACAGACGUUUAUCUCUGCCAGGACAGUAAAACGAAACGUCCUUCAUACUAUAAGUAGAACAACCACUGUGUUCGGAGUAAAGGGAAGCAAGAUGGUGAUGAUGUCAUAGACAGGAGCUGAAGACUGUUUUCCUAAUAUCUUCAAUAUUCAUGCACCUUAAAAGAAUUUAUUAGGACACUUUACUGUAAUUGCAUUACUGGAUUUGUGGGAAUAUGAGUCGCUCAGACUCAUCUUCACAGUUUUCCCAAAACACUGACUGACUGAACUUCCACUGCUUCCAGUUUUUUCAGGCCACUGAACUUUCCGUGCUACCACGUGGGUGCAUGAUGGACGUCAUGUGUUGAACAUGACUUUUGGCCUUGACCUACUGCUAAUACAGAGGUUCAUUUGCCUGGUUCCAUUUUAAUAAGGUCAUCAACCCAAAGAUGAUUCACACAGGGUGGCCUCAUGGGAACACGUACUCAGGAGACGAAAAAGACACCCAGAAUCACUCAAUUAAAAUUCAGAUUGAAAUUGCAUUUAUAUACUGUCAUGAAUCAAGCAGCCAGGAACACACAGGCACAAAUGUAAUCUUAAAAAAAAAAGAAAAAAAAAAAAGGGUUUUAUUAUACCCCCAAAAAGGACAAGAUGAUUACAAAAAUUCAAAAUAACAAAAAUAAAGUUUUUAAGAACCAAGUGGGCCCAUAAGAGACUUUAACUUAACGCUACUCAAAAGUCACUUAACAAAAACAUACCUCAACAACCUGAUCUGCCCAAAUGAGAAACAGCUCCAGUUAUAUAGCAAAUGAAUAAACCAUUAUAUACACCAAAGGUGAAAACUAAAGAGAUAACAGCUAACCAUCAUUCAAGAAGAACCCCAUUCCCCCUGCAUGAUCACAAUAGAUGGUCCAGUCCACUUUAUUGGCUUCUGCAUUUAAACCAGCUCCACCCUCAGCCUCCUCUUUCAGCCAAACCAGGAAGGACUGGAGCGGAGGUCAGCCCUUCAGUCUCAGAUGCCAUCUGAUGUUUAUGGGUCUGCGGUUGGCACCAGUAACGGCCUUAAUUUGGGUGGAGGAUCAUCCAGCGUCUUGAUGGACAGUCAACUGGAUCCUCUGGCUGAGUGCUUGUGAAAUUUUUUUGGGUCUUCCACUUGACGUUUUUGGUCCAUAACGUUCAGGAUCAUUUAAGAAAUGACUGUCUUAUUGCAUCCCACCUCAGCAGCCAUGGCACACUGCGAGAGACCCCGCUUGUGCAGUUCAACAACCCGACCACGUUCAAAAAGAGAACGUUUUUUUGCCUUUGCCGUCAGAACGUUAUGACAGUGACUACCUGACAGAAAAUGUCAAUGAAUCCACAUUUCUGCACAGAUUUGGCCUUUUAAAGGCACGUGGUCCUAAACUUUCAUCAGCUGUAAAACCGC